ACAUGGAUACCUGUGGUAAUUCUAGAGCUAAUACAUGCUAAAAACCUCGACUUCGGAAGGGGUGUAUUUAUUAGAUAAAAAACCAACGCCCUUCGGGGCUCCUUGGUGAAUCAUAAUAACUAAGCGAAUCGCAUGGCCUUGCGCCGGCGAUGGUUCAUUCAAAUUUCUGCCCUAUCAACUUUCGAUGGUAAGAUAGUGGCUUACCAUGGUGGCAACGGGUAACGGGGAAUUAGGGUUCGAUUCCGGAGAGGGAGCCUGAGAAACGGCUACCACAUCCAAGGAAGGCAGCAGGCGCGCAAAUUACCCAAUCCCGACACGGGGAGGUAGUGACAAUAAAUACUGAUACGGGGCUCUUUUGGGUCUCGUAAUUGGAAUGAGUACAAUCUAAAUCCCUUAACGAGGAACAAUU
rnacentral:rRNA from 1 species